rnacentral:misc_RNA from 1 species
GCAAACUUGGUCAUUUAGAGGAAGUAAAAGUCGUAACAAGGUUUCCGUAGGUGAACCUGCGGAAGGAUCAUUACCGAAUCGUCGAACACGGGUUGUCGCUGGCCUCUCGGAAGUGGGGCAUGUGCACGCUCUGUUUACGCAUCCACUCACACCUGUGCACUCUCUGUAGUUUUGCGGUUUGGAAGGCGCCGUCUUCCUUCCGUGGCUCUACGUCUUUACACACACGCCGUAGUGAAGUCUCGUGGAAUGUUUUUUUUUUGCGUUUAACGCGAUACAAUACAACUUUCAGCAACGGAUCUCUUGGCUCUCGCAUCGAUGAAGAACGCAGC